GAGUUUGAUCGUGGCUCAGGGUGAACGCUGGCGGCGUGCCUAACACAUGCAAGUCGAACGAAGCAAUCGGGAUGAAGUUUUCGGAUGGAUUCCUGGUUGACUGAGUGGCGGACGGGUGAGUAACGCGUGGAUAACCUGCCUCACACUGGGGGAUAACAGUUAGAAAUGGCUGCUAAUACCGCAUAAGCGCACAGUACCGCAUGGUACGGUGUGAAAAACCCAGGUGGUGUGAGAUGGAUCCGCGUCUGAUUAGCCAGUUGGCGGGGUAACGGCCCGACCAAAGCGACGAUCAGUAGCCGACCUGAGAGGGUGACCGGCCACAUUGGGACUGAGACACGGCCCAAACUCCUACGGGAGGCAGCAGUGGGGAA
rnacentral:rRNA from 1 species